rnacentral:lncRNA from 1 species
AUGGAGCCUGCUCCUUUGCCUUCCUGUUCUCCUCCGCCCAGGGCGGCUGUAGUCCAGCCAUCUCCUGCACCUGUAUCAAUUCCGCGGGUGAGGGGGGCUAGGGCCCAGUUUGUCCCUGCUCCAGUUUCCAGGCCUGCUGAGGCUCCGCUAGUCUCUGCGCCCGUACCUACUCCGCGGGUGGGAGCGGCUACUGCUCAGCAGGCCCCCGCACCUGUUUCUGUCCUCGCGGGAGGCUCUGGUGAGUCCAUCCGGCAGUUUUCUUCGGGCUCCGUAGGCUCAGAAAACCUAGCUCGGCCAUCUGCUCCUCCACCACCUCACCCACCAUUACUACCAUCGUUACAACAGUCAAUAGAACUUAAACUUCUAUCCAUAGCUCAAACAUUAGCUCACCUCUCAGCUCAGUCGCCUGCUCAGUUACCACCUGCCUCCGCUGGAGGGUCCGAGGGGCCCGUCCAGCCACAGCAACCUGCCUCCGCUGGAGGGUCCGAGGGGCCUGUCCGGCCUUCUGUCUCCGCUGGAGGGUCCGAGGGGCCCGUCCGGCCUUUUGUUCCCGCUGGAGGGUCCGAGGAACCGUUCCAGCCGUCUGUUCCCGCUGGAGGGUCCGAGGAGCCCGUCCAGCCUCCUGCCUCGUCAGCUGGAGGGCCCGAGGAGCCCGUCCAGCCUCCUGCCUCGUCAGCUGGGGGUCUUGGAGGACCCAGCCAAUGCAUCCUCAUCUCUACUGACGGUUCCGGGGAGACCGUUCAGCCACCACCUACAUCGCCGCCUGCAGCGCCCACAUCGUCGCUUGCAGCAUCCCCGCCUGCGGCAGCUUCAUCCCCGCCACUUGUGGCAGCGGCAGCUUCGGCUGCGCCGUCGCCUGGUCCAGCUUCAGCUGCGCCGUCGCCUGUUCCGGCUUCAGCGCCACCUGCAGCAGCCUCCUCGUCAGCUUCGGCGUCGCCUGCAGCGCCACCAUCUCCGGCUCCCACGCCGUCGCCUGCGGCGCCACUUUCGCCCGGUCCGGCCUCCGAGUCUUCGCCUUCACCCGGUCCGGCCUCUGAGUCUUCGCCUUCGCCCGGUCUGGCUUCGGCUACAGCUUCGCUUGGUCCUGCCUCGGCCACGCCGACGUCCGGACCACAUCCUGCGCCUCUACAGCGCCGGCCUCCUUCCAGGCCUCUGAUUGCACGUCCUGCUCGCCCUGUCCGGCCUGCACGUCCUGCUCGCCCUGUCCGGCCUGCACGUCCUGCUCGCCCUGUCCGGCCUGCACGUCCUGCUCGCCCUGUCCGGCCUGCUCGCCCUGUCCGGCCUGCUCGUCCUGCUCGUCCUGUCCGGCCUGCUCGUCCUGUCCGGCCGCUUUCCGGGCCGAUGACUGGACGUCCUCGCCGUCGUGGCCGGCCUCCUGACCUGCUCCGUCGCCGCCGGUGCCUCCCGCCCGGCCGGCCUCCUGACCUUUUUUCUGGACUCUUGGGCCGUCGACCUCCGGGCUGGCCCCCUGAACCUUUUCGAGGCUGUUGCCUGGGCCUCUGCGCCUUUCGUGGGCCCUCUUGUUUGUUUUCUUUUGGACGUUUCCUGGGCCUCAGUGCUGUUGUUUUGUUCUGUUUUGGACUUUGUUCCCUGGGUUUUGGUUUCUGGCUCCUUGUGUUUCCGUCCGGUUCCCCCGCCGCCCGCCCUGGUUGGGUUGUUUUUUGUUUUGGUUUGGGCUGUCUGGGAGCCAGCCCUUUAGGGGGGGUACUGUUAGGAUGCCUGGGUCGUUGA